rnacentral:tRNA from 1 species
CACGUAGUAGCUUAUAAUAUAAAGCUUUAAACUUUUAAUUUAAUGAUGAAAACUUUUCCUAUGUGG